GACGAACGCUGGCGGCGUGCUUAACACAUGCAAGUCGAACGGAAAGGCCCCUUUGGGGGUCCUCGAGUGGCGAACGGGUGCGUAACACGUGAGUAACCUGCCCUUGACUUCGGGAUAACUUCAGGAAACUGGGGCUAAUACCGGAUAGGAAUCCUUGCUGCAUGGUGGGGGUUGGAAAGCUUCGGCGGUUUUGGAUGGACUCGCGGCUUAUCAGCUUGUUGGUGGGGUAGUGGCUUACCAAGGCUUUGACGGGUAGCCGGCCUGAGAGGGCGACCGGCCACAUUGGGACUGAGAGACGGCCCAGACUCCUACGGGAGGCAGCAGGGGGGAAGAUUGCACAAUGGGCGGAAGCCUGAUGCAGCAACGCCGCGUGCGGGAUGACGGCCUUCGGGUUGUAAACCGCUUUCAGCAGGGGCGAAGCUUGUGGUGACGGUACCUGCAGAAGAAGCACCGGCUAACUACGUG
rnacentral:rRNA from 1 species